GACGAACGCUGGCGGCGUGCUUAACACAUGCAAGUCGAACGGAAAGGCCCUGCUUUUGUGGGGUGCUCGAGUGGCGAACGGGUGAGUAACACGUGUGUAACCUGCCCUUGACUUUGGGAUAACUUCAGGAAACUGGGGCUAAUACCGGAUAGGAGCUCCUGCUGCAUGGUGGUGGUUGGAAAGUUUCGGCGGUUGGGGAUGGACUCGCGGCUUAUCAGCUUGUUGGUGGGGUAGUGGCUUACCAAGGCUUUGACGGGUAGCCGGCCUGAGAGGGUGACCGGCCACAUUGGGACUGAGAUACGGCCCAGACUCCUACGGGAGGCAGCAGUGGGGAAUAUUGCACAAUGGGCGGAAGCCUGAUGCAGCAACGCCGCGUGCGGGAUGACGGCCUUCGGGUUGUAAACCGCUUUCGCCUGUGACGAAGCGUGAGUGACGGUAAUGGGUAAAGAAGCACCGGCUAACUACGUG
rnacentral:rRNA from 1 species